AUUGAACGCUGGCGGCAUGCCUUACACAUGCAAGUCGAACGGCAGCACGGGAGCAAUCCUGGUGGCGAGUGGCGAACGGGUGAGUAAUACAUCGGAACGUGCCCAAUCGUGGGGGAUAACGCAGCGAAAGCUGUGCUAAUACCGCAUACGAUCUACGGAUGAAAGCAGGGGAUCGCAAGACCUUGCGCGAAUGGAGCGGCCGAUGGCAGAUUAGGUAGUUGGUGAGGUAAAGGCUCACCAAGCCGUCGAUCUGUAGCUGGUCUGAGAGGACGACCAGCCACACUGGGACUGAGACACGGCCCAGACUCCUACGGGAGGCAGCAGUGGGGAAUUUUGGACAAUGGGCGAAAGCCUGAUCCAGCCAUGCCGCGUGCAGGAUGAAGGCCUUCGGGUUGUAAACUGCUCUUGUACGGAACGAAACGGCCUUUUCUAAUAAAGAGGGCUAAUGACGGUACCGUAAGAAUAAGCACCGGCUAACUACGUGCCAGCAGCCGCGGUAAUACGUAGGGUGCAAGCGUUAAUCGGAAUUACUGGGCGUAAAGCGUGCGCAGGCGGUUAUGUAAGACAGUUGUGAAAUCCCCGGGCUCAACCUGGGAACUGCAUCUGUGACUGCAUAGCUAGAGUACGGUAGAGGGGGAUGGAAUUCCGCGUGUAGCAGUGAAGUGCGUAGAUAUGCGGAGGAACACCGAUGGCGAAGGCAAUCCCCUGGACCUGUACUGACGCUCAUGCACGAAAGCGUGGGGAGCAAACAGG
rnacentral:rRNA from 1 species